UGGAAGUAAAAGUCGUAACAAGGUUUCCGUAGGUGAACCUGCGGAAGGAUCAUUACUGAUUUGCUUAAUUGCACCACAUGUGUUUUUUAUUGAACAAAUUUCUUUGGUGGCGGGAGCAAUCCUACCGCCAGAGGUUAUAACUAAACCAAACUUUUUAUUUACAGUCAAACUUGAUUUAUUAUUACAAUAGUCAAAACUUUCAACAACGGAUCUCUUGGUUCUCGCAUCGAUGAAGAACGCAGCGAAAUGCGAUACGUAAUAUGAAUUGCAGAUAUUCGUGAAUCAUCGAAUCUUUGAACGCACAUUGCGCCCUUUGGUAUUCCAAAGGGCAUGCCUGUUUGAGCGUCAUUUCUCCCUCAAACCCCCGGGUUUGGUGUUGAGCAAUACGCUAGGUUUGUUUGAAAGAAUUUAACGUGGAAACUUAUUUUAAGCGACUUAGGUUUAUCCAAAAACGCUUAUUUUGCUAGUGGCCACCACAAUUUAUUUCAUAACUUUGACCUCAAAUCAGGUAGGACUACCCGCUGAACUUAAGCAUAUCAAUAAGCGGAGGAA
rnacentral:misc_RNA from 1 species